UUAGAGUUUGAUCCUGGCUCAGGACGAACGCUGGCGGCGUGCCUAACACAUGCAAGUCAAGGGGCAGCAAUGGAGCAAUCUGUUGCUGCCACUGGCGCACGGGUGAGUAACGCGUAGGUAACCUGCCCUCAGCCCUGCAAUAACCCCGGGAAACUGGGGCUAAUGGCAGAUGAGGUCGGUGGGGGAAGUUCCCACCGAUCAAAGGGGCAACCCGGCUGAGGAUGGGCCUGCGUCCUAUCAGGUAGUUGGUGGGGUAACGGCCCACCAAGCCGACGACGGGUAGCUGGCCUGAGAGGGUGGUCAGCCACACCGGCACUGAGACACGGGCCGGACUCCUACGGGAGGCAGCAGUGGGGAAUCUUGCACAAUGGGCGAAGAGCCUGAUGCAGCGACGCCGCGUGCGGGAAGAAGGGGCGUAUGCCUUGUAAACCGCUGUCGGGGGGAGG
rnacentral:rRNA from 1 species